GUUCUGGCACUGUUAUGAUGGCGAGAGGAGGAACAGAGGAGUGUUGGUUGUGAUCAGAGGGUGAGAUGGGCUGGUCUCGGUAGUGAGACAGGCUGUUCCUGGUAGUGAGACAGGCUGUUCUUGGGUGUGAUCAGUGUAGCAUCACUGUGCCACGUCUCAGAUAUGAAUCUGUUAAACAUGCAUAAAGCCAGCCUCGGAGCACAGAGGAUGUUCAUGUCACUCACCUCCCUACUCCCUUCC